GUCAGCAGAAUCGGAUGACUGUUGUCGGGCGCGCCGCUGAGCCUGCGGGGACUACGGGGAUGGCGCCGGGCUGGUGUCCCGGGUCUCCGACCUCCGGUCCUUGGCUGCCCACAGACUGCACCGGUUUUGCUCGCGGAGGGAGAUGUCCUGGGGACUGGUCCUCUAGUGGGUUCCGAAAGUGAAAGCCUGCGGACUAAACAGACCCAAAAUAAGGAGCUUCCCACUUGCCCGGGUCACUUGAAGGGCUUUCGCAUCCACCACGAAGUACAACAUACAACUUCCGAGACCCACCGUUCAGGGUUUCUCUGUAUAGUCCUGGCUGUCCUGGAACUCACUUUAUAGACCAGACUGGCCUUGAACUCAGAAAUCCGCCUGCCUCUGCCUCCCAAGUGCUGGGAUUAAAGAUGUGCACCACCACCGUCCGGCUCAUUGAAGAAUUAAAAAACAAAAAAAAACAAAAAAAAAAAACAAAAAAAAAAACAAAACCAUGGUGAAAGAGAGCUGAAGAUUUGAAGCUAAGCAGUGCUGGCAUCUUGUCUGUGUUACCAGUCCCACGAUCUCAGGAAGUUCACCCUCUUUGAGCUUUAGUAUGAAAUGGAAUUUCUGUGAAUUUAAUAAGAUGAGUGAGAGGCUGACAUACUUAACAGGUGAUAAAUAAUAUGUGGGAUAUGUAUGCAAUUCCCGAUUUUUUUUCAUAAUAUUCCUGAAGUUAUUACUGUCAGGUCCAAAAGCCUUUUGUUCAGUUAACCUCUCCUCUCACCUCCUCUGCUUGCAUAGCCCAAACCAGUCUUGAACUGAUUUCGGAGGCCAGACAGGCCUGGAAAUCAAAAUUCUCCUGCCUUAGCUUCAAUAGGGCUAGGAUUACAGGUGUGAGCCAACCAUUCUUAUCUCAGAAUACCAUUAAUAGUGAGAAAAGCCUUACAGGCUGGAGUAGAAAGUAUCACUCAGGAUGUGGUCUCGUGAUUAGAACAUAGGUGAAUUUGGAACACUCCUUGGGUCAGAAAAUGGAUAAAGAACCAGGCAACCUGGACUAUUCCUUUGAGAAAAUGUGAUAUUCUCUCAUUCUCCCGCCCCCCCCCCCGCCCCCCACAUCUGCUUUCUCAGUCCUGGGACAAAGACAUGCAUAGCAUCUGACACCACAGUGCUUUUUAAAUCAAGGUUGAGAAAACUAAGUGACUAGUGAGUAACUAUGAAAAUGAAUGAAGGGGAGGACUAGCUGUAUUGCAGCACACAUAAUCCCAGGGAUGCAGAGGUGAAGACCAGAGGAGCAGGAGUUUGAGGCCCUUUUCAGCCACACAAGUUCUAGACUAUGUGAGAGCUUGUUUCAAAAAUAAAUAAUUAAAUAAAUAAUAAAAAAAAUAGA